ACCAAAGCUUCCAGACUUUUUUUCCUGGUGGAAAGAGCUGCUGUUCCCUUUUCUCUGCCCUUCUCUGCAAUUGCCUGUCUCACCUCCUGGAAAAUUGAAUCCAAAUGAUGAUUCCUGCCAGGCAAAAGGUGCCACCACAGAAAGGUCUUGCUACCCAAGAAGUGCCCAGGCUGUCCCAACAACUACACCUGAAGCCAAAGGAUGCAGA